UACGAAGGUGGCAAGCGUUGUUCGGAUUUACUGGGCGUAAAGGGAGCGUAGGUGGUCGGGUAAGCCCCGCGGGAAAGCUCCAGGCUUAACCUGGAAAGGUCGCGGGGGACUGCUCGGCUAGAGGACGGGAGAGGAGCGCGGAAUUCCCGGUGUAGCGGUGAAAUGCGUAGAGAUCGGGAGGAAGGCCGGUGGCGAAGGCGGCGCUCUGGAACGGCCCUGACACUGAGGCUCGAAAGCGUGGGGAGCAAACAGGAUUAGAUACCCUGGUAGUCCACGCCCUAAACGAUGGACACUACGUGCCGGCGGGUCUCCGUCGGUGCCGCAGCUAACGCAGUAAGUGUCCCGCCUGGGGAGUACGGCCGCAAGGUUG
rnacentral:rRNA from 1 species